rnacentral:pre_miRNA from 1 species
GAGUGGAAGAGGAAGAAAAUGAGCAUCUAAGAGCAUUGGGCAUGGGAACAUGGAAGAAGGUGUCUAAACUAGUGUGUCUCUCUACAACUAGGCCAACCUUUUUCUUCGGAAUUUUCUCAAUGCCUCCCAUGCCUAUUGUUCUCAGUUACUCCUUCCUCUCCCUUGUGAUG